rnacentral:rRNA from 1 species
AGAGUUUGAUCCUGGCUCAGAUUGAACGCUGGCGGCAGGCCUAACACAUGCAAGUCGAACGGUAGCACAGAGAGCUUGCUCUCGGGUGACGAGUGGCGGACGGGUGAGUAAUGUCUGGGAAACUGCCUGAUGGAGGGGGAUAACUACUGGAAACGGUAGCUAAUACCGCAUAAUGUCGCAAGACCAAAGAGGGGGACCUUCGGGCCUCUUGCCAUCGGAUGUGCCCAGAUGGGAUUAGCUUGUUGGUGAGGUAACGGCUCACCAAGGCGACGAUCCCUAGCUGGUCUGAGAGGAUGACCAGCCACACUGGAACUGAGACACGGUCCAGACUCCUACGGGAGGCAGCAGUGGGGAAUAUUGCACAAUGGGCGCAAGCCUGAUGCAGCCAUGCCGCGUGUAUGAAGAAGGCCUUCGGGUUGUAAAGUACUUUCAGCGAGGAGGAAGGCGGUAAGGUUAAUAACCUUACCGAUUGACGUUACUCGCAGAAGAAGCACCGGCUAACUCCGUGCCAGCAGCCGCGGUAAUACGGAGGGUGCAAGCGUUAAUCGGAAUUACUGGGCGUAAAGCGCACGCAGGCGGUCUGUCAAGUCGGAUGUGAAAUCCCCGGGCUCAACCUGGGAACUGCAUUCGAAACUGGCAGGCUAGAGUCUUGUAGAGGGGGGGUAGAAUUCCAGGUGUAGCGGUGAAAUGCGUAGAGAUCUGGAGGAAUACCGGUGGCGAAGGCGGCCCCCUGGACAAAGACUGACGCUCAGUGCGAAAGCGUGGGGAGCAACAGGAUUAGAUACCCUGGUAGUCCACGCCGUAACGAUUCGAAACUUGGAGGUGUGCCCUUGAGCGUG